GGAUACGUGGUAUAUGGAGGAGAUCUUUGUUGCUACACCACAAAAGUGCAUGGGAAUUAUUAUCGGAACUGGGGGAAGAAAUAUAAAACAACUGCAACACGAGACACAUACGAGAAUAUGGAAGAGUAAUGAAGUCGGGAGAGGGUCUGGUUUUAUAAUCACUGGCACUGCAACUGGUUGUGAAGAAGCACGACUGGCUAUACAACGUCGCAUAGUAAGUAUCAGUAUCUUAUACACCUAUCUUUAUUCUCAGGUCGGCCCCACAAAUAUAGUGAUAAUUUAACUGAGCGGGGGUACUAGAAAAUCAAACGCGUGAUCACAA